rnacentral:rRNA from 1 species
AGUGAACGCUGGCGGUAGGCCUAACACAUGCAAGUCGAACGCCAGCACAGGAGAGCUUGCUCUCUGGGUGGCGAGUGGCGGACGGGUGAGGAAUACAUCGGAAUCUGCCCAGUCGUGGGGGAUAACGUAGGGAAACUUACGCUAAUACCGCAUACGACCUUCGGGUGAAAGAGGGGGAUCGCAAGACCUCUCGCGAUUGGAUGAGCCGAUGUCGGAUUAGCUAGUUGGCGGGGUAAUGGCCCACCAAGGCGACGAUCCGUAGCUGGUCUGAGAGGAUGAUCAGCCACACUGGAACUGAGACACGGUCCAGACUCCUACGGGAGGCAGCAGUGGGGAAUAUUGGACAAUGGGCGCAAGCCUGAUCCAGCCAUACCGCGUGGGUGAAGAAGGCCUUCGGGUUGUAAAGCCCUUUUGUUGGGAAAGAAAUCUUUCAGGCUAAUACCCUGGGAGGAUGACGGUACCCAAAGAAUAAGCACCGGCUAACUUCGUG